rnacentral:rRNA from 1 species
UACGUAGGGUGCGAGCGUUAAUCGGAAUCACUGGGCGUAAAGGGUGCGUAGGCGGGAUCUUAAGUCAGAGGUGAAAGCCUGGAGCUCAACUCCAGAACUGCCUUUGAUACUGGGAUUCUUGAGUUCGGGAGAGGUGAGCGGAACUGCGAGUGUAGAGGUGAAAUUCGUAGAUAUUCGCAAGAACACCGGUGGCGAAGGCGGCCAACUGGACCAUUACUGACGCUGAGGCGCGAAAGCGUGGGGAGCAAACAGG